CCCUUAUCAACUGGGCCAAGAGCGAUACCCUGCUGCUUGGAGAGUGGAUUGCCAUGACCCCCCCGGCCUUGCCUGGGGGCCUCACCUGGCGCUGCGAGGGCCUUAAGAUCCUGGGCGUGUUCCUGGGGCCACUGACCUUCAUGGUGUGCAACUGGGACGGCCUCGAGGAAGGAGUGAAGGCCUGCCUACAAAGGUGGCACUGGCGCCUACCCAGACUCUCCUACCGUGGACGCGCCCUCAUCGUGAACAACCUAGUGGCAGCGAGCCUGUGGCAUCAGUGUGCCGUACUCGAUCCGCCGGAGGACCUGCUCGAGAGACUCCAGCACCUCCUGGUUGACUUCUUCUGGGACGGGCUGCCACUGGCUCCCACGACCUGUCCUUUACCUACCUGUGACUGAGGGGGGCCAGAGUUUGGUUGACCUGGCGAGCGGGGUGGUCGCCUUCUGCCUCCAGGCCCUCCAGCAACUCCUGUACAGUGAGGAGUGCCCACCUUGGCAACACCUGGCAUGCCGGUUUCUGCAGAGGGUGGGGGCCCUUGGCUUUGACCGGGAGCUCUUCCUGCUGGUCCUUACGCUUUUGAACUGGGCCGUGCUUCCAGUCUUUUACCGUAGUGUGGUACGAGCCUGGCAAGCCACUUUCCACCUCCAGUCCCAGGCUCGUCACCUCCAGUUCCCGCAGUUGCUGGGGGAAGCCCUGGUGCACAACCCAGCGCUGAGGCGCCCUGUGCCGAGCCUGGCCUCUGCCAGUCUCACGGCCGCUCUCAUUCAGGCGCGUGUUCUCCGCCUGAGCCACCUCCUUGACCCCGCUCGGUCAGCCUGGCUCUUGCCUGAGGCCUUGAGCAGCCGGCUGGGCAUGCGCUUUGUUCGCAGCAUGGGCCGUCUCCUGUGUGACAUCCAGGCUGCCCUCCCAUUGGAGGCGGCAGCUGCCCUGGAGGACCAUCUACAGACGGGCCAGGUCCCCUGCACUGAGGAUGCCCCGAGCGAGGCUUUCCCUGCAUUACCAGUCACCCCAGCCGUGGCCGACGAUCUGGCUGGUGGCCCUGGCACCCUGCUGAUGCUCCC
rnacentral:lncRNA from 1 species